AGUCCUAUGACGUGUCAAGCUUGAGAGCCACAAAAAACCAUCAUCCAAUCAGAGCGUAUCAACUGGGAACCAAUAGCAAAGAAUUUGCUUCCUCACCUCAAGUGUAUAUGAUAUAUUAUAAUAUAAAAAUCACUUUUGCUCUUCUCUUUCUGGAUUUGGCAGAAGCACACGUUAGCACUAAGCACCCCGACAAGCCAAUAGCAGCUUUUUCGUAUUGCCUGGUUAAUUUUCGCGGGAAAGGGCAAAAAUUGUGGUAGUUUUAAGUUAUCGGUGUUGCACGCAACCUGCGUUUAUUGGCGUCACAUGACGUUUCAAGUAGACGGCGUGGCAGGAACCUUGCGUCGCGCCGGUUGAUAAAAAGGCGUGUCUGGUUCAUUAUAUUGUCCGCUAAUGACCAUGACACGAGAAAGAAAAUAUCAAAUAUGAUUCAAAUAAUUAUGAUAAUUAUAAUGGGCUAUUAUGAUCAAUGUCAACCACUAAGAUCAUACAUGUCCUGGGCAAUAACUUGAACAUUUUGGUAAAUGUGGUGGGAGCCAUAUUUAUGUAUGUAUAUUGGACCAAACUAAUAAUGAAGGCCCAAUUCCAUUGGAUUCCAUUCCAUUCCUUACAAAACUGUCACCCCAUGUUUUGCUUCAAUGUGAGUUCUGUGCUAUGUAUGAAUUGGUUUGUUUAACUUGCCAACAAUUUCCUGUAAAUUGCAAGGCAUGAGAUGCAAACCAUAUGAACAGACAGCGAUCGAAUCCAAAACAUUCAACCAAACUCUUUGUUGACAAGCAAAAUGGGGUAUUAUCAUCCAAAGAAGAGGAAAUAGUUCAACAGUAAAAAUGGAAUCGUUUACAUCUCUUCACCUGCAUUUUAUUUAUUCACCACAAAAAAUGCCUUCCAUGCCCCCCCGCAAGCUAAGCUUUUGCUCCCUCAUAAUCUCCAAACAACCUACACCAUUCUC
rnacentral:lncRNA from 1 species